CAACGCUGGAAGAUCAGCCAGAGGAGCAAAGGAAUUUGAAAGCUCCAACUCUGGAUCAUCGCCACCACGGCGCAGAGGGACAGGAGGAGAGGAGCGUCCACUCUUGCCACCAGCCACCACCAUGGACCAGCUGGAAGGACCUGGGAUGGGGUUCGGAACAACACCCGCUGUUGAGGCACCAGGACAAGGUAGCCAUGGUUCCUCUAUCGAGAACGCACAUCAGAAGCAACAAGGAAGACCAGCCUAGGAGAGCUGGUGUUGGACUACAGGUCUAUGGAGAGUUCCCGACUUCCGACUCGGAAAGGUGGCGCCGGAGGUAUUUGGAACACACCAUAACAUCCUUCACUUCGACCGGCAGUGAGUCUGCUUAUAGGUCGGAAUUUGGUCAGAAUGAAGCGGCCACUGUUUCUUGACAAGCUGGGUACUUUAUUCGUAGUUCCACUAACUUUACAGUACAGGUUUGCACAGACACAACCGGACUCGUUCGUUACUUCACUUAACCUUGUCACCAAUCCUGUUUGUGAUAUACAUGGACAGGAUAUCGAGGCGUAGUCGUGGUGGGGAGGGGUUGCAGUUCGGUGGUCUGAGGAUCUCGUCACUGCUUUUGGCAGAUGAUGUGGUCCUCAUUGGAUCAUCGGUCUGUGACCUUCAGCACUCACUAGAUCGGCUGGCGGCCGAGUGUGAAGUGGCUGGGAUGAGGAUCAGCACCGCUAAAUCUGAGGCCCAAGUGAAGGAGUUCAAGUACCUCGGGGUCUUGUUCGCGAGUGAGGGUACGAUGGAGCGUGAGAUUGGCCGGAGAAUCGGAGCAGCGAGGGCGGUAUUGCGUUCGCUUUACCGCACCGUUGUUACGAAAAGAGAGCUGAGCCGCUCGAUCUACCGGUCGAUCUUCGUUCCUAUCCUCACCUAUGGUCAUGAGGGUUGGGUGAUGACCGAUAGGACGAGAUCGCGGGUGCAAGCGGCCGAGAUGAGUUUUCUCAGAAGGGUGGCUGGCGUCUCCCUUAGGGAUAAGGUGAGAAGCUCAGCCAUCCGUGAGGAACUCGGAUUAGAGCCGCUGCUCCUUUACUUAGAAAGGAGUCAGCUGAGGUGGUUCGGGCAUCUGGUAAGGAUGCCCACUGGGCGCCUCCCUUGAGAGUGUUUCAGGCACGUCCAGUGGGGAGGAGACCUCGGGGAAGACCCAGGACUAGGUGGAGAGAUUAUGUCUCAACACUGGCCUGGGAACGCCUCGGGAUCCCCCCGUCAGAGCUGGUUAAUGUGGCCCGGGGCCCCCUGCUUGAGCUGCUCCCCCCGCGACCCAACCCCGGAUAAGCCGAUGAAGAUGAGAUGAGAUGAGAGAUGAGAUGUUAGAGAUGUAUACUGCACAGAUAUAUACCCUCUCUAGAAAAAACAUGAUGUCUUAGCCCAUUUAGAGUAUAUGUUCUCUGUCUAAGACUGUGACCUAUUUUCACUUUCCUUGCCUCAGGCCUCAUAUUCAGUUGCAUACAAUAUUGAGAUUGCAGAUACUAGGGAGCACACUCAGUUUUAGUGUGUGUUUGCAACACGAUCCUGCCUGUUAUGCCCUGGGAUUAUCCAUGAUGUACCUGUUAUAGAGGUUUGGAUAUUGGAUGUAUAUUGGUUAGCACAAUAUUAAAAGGGAAGGCGAGAGAGAGAGAGAGAGAGAGAGAGAGAGAGAGAGAGAGAGAGAGAGAGAGAGAGAGAGAGAGAGAGAGAGAGAGAGAGAGAGAUAGAAUUAUAUGAAUGCCAUGGCACUAUGGAUCUUGGAGUUUGUUUGACCAACUGCUUAUUUGAUAUUUUUCGUGAAUAAUUGAUGAGGUACGUGAAUAGCGUCUAGCUCCAGGUAUGGAGGUAAAGGUGAGGUUAAAUUAGAUGCAACAAAAUGCAAUGAUAGCAUAUCUAUUUCUUUUUUGUUUAUUCAUAGUUCAUUCUUUCUUUCGGUCUUUUUUCUUUCCUCCUCCCUUUCUCUUUUUCUCCCCUUCCCCAACACCGUCACCCCACCACCAUCUCUACGCUCUCCGGGUGAUCAUUAAUAAUACAACAAAGACCAGGCUUGGUGAAGACUGCUUGGCUUCUUGCUGUCUCCAUGGAGAUCGCAUCUUCUUCAUUGUUCUCCAAAAUCCUCUCCACAUAAGAAAAUCCACCUGCAUCGCACGGCUCGCAGCACGCGAUGGAGAGCACCACGAACCACAGAGAAUGAAGAAAGAGUUAAUUGGAAAGUUUGAGGGAAGGUAUGAUGUCAUCCUGCCAGCAGCCAGCAACGACGUGUUACUUGGAGCCUGCAGCUCUUUGCUCUCUACACCCCAAAACAAGGCUGUGCUCAUGCCACCACGGAUGCUGUGGAGUGACAUCUCUUCCUGACAUCAGCCAAAUGGCAGGUGGGCAACCUCAUGGCUAGCCCAGUUCUGCUGCCAUGGUAUACCCCAGUACUCCUGCCGGGCGCUUCUGCUUGGGCCACUACACCAGAUGACACGAUACCCCCUGCUGAUGGUUGGGUCCACUGAGGAUCUGUAAGGGGUUCCUUGUUCUCCAGCAGACAGCAAUCCUCUACCCAGCAAACAACCACUUACACCUCACGUUGUGUCCUAACAAACACUGCCAAGACCUUGUGGCAUCUGCUGGACCCGCUGUUGGCAAGCUACAUGUAUCCUGAUUGGAUUCCAAACAAUAGACUUACAACAAUUCAGGAAUAGCACGUUUGUUGCAACAACAGCAGAUAUAUCAUGAUUCCCUGCCUCGUAAUCACCACAUGACUUUCAAGAGGAGAUAAGAAUAUUUGAAGAAGUGUGAAGAAGAAUCGCUUGUUCAGUGAAUUACAGUCACCAUAGUACUUUUUUUAUAAUUUUUAUUCAAAUGCUUGCAAUUAGGUGUUGGUUGGCAGCCUACUCGAUGUUUUGAGUGUCGUGCUGUGGAAGCUAUUUUUAUAGCUCCCAAAGUAACGUUUGUCAGCAAGUCGAAGAAUUAGGGGAUUUGAUUAAGCGCUAAUAUCUGGACACAUCGCACGCACACACACACGCACGUACGCAUGCACGCACGCACGCACACACACACACACACACACACACACACACACACACACACACACACACACACACAUGCACUCACACACAUACAGUUGUCUCAUAGCCCUGUCACUAUGGCCACCAGCGUUGGUGGUGGGCGGGAGACUCAUUGGUGGCGUCCUCGUUACAUAACAGGAACCUGUGAGAAGCGCUCUGUUUGUUUUCAAGCACAGGCAAGUCAUCAAGGACUGCAUAUGGCCACCAACACAUACUGAUCAGCACAGUCACCAUGCACGGUUCAAGAGCCACAGAGUGAACCAUAAGGGUUCACAGUCAUCUCACUGCAGCAUGUUUCCAAGACUUCUGAAUAUUUUUGUGGGUGAUUUCGAAACACGUAUCAAUAAAAUAAAAUUCAAUAAACUCAAAGAACUGUAACAACCCAGAAGUACCGGUACAAGACAAUAAAGUGAAGUGUCCAUUAAAGUGUUUUAAAGACUAAAAUAGCAUAAAUAUAUAUGAGGAGUGAGUAUGGAAUUGGUUUUCAAAAGGAGUGACCUGUAUCUUUGUCCGGAGGGUAGGUGGUCUUGAUGGUGGUGCAGAUUUGGUUUUGUCUGAGGCUAUCGUCUGCUGUGAUUGGUGUUAAGUGAUACUUGGUGCAGUCCAAUGAUUUUGCUGCUCAUGCAUUACAUCAUAAUACAUUUAUGCUUGAUAAUUCCAAUCCUAUUAUCUAUAAUUGAAAGCUCUGCAUGUCUGUAUCAGAACUAUCAGUAACGUACAAGUGACAGUUCUGACGUACAAUUGAUUUUUAAUCCUGUUUAAUAAUCACCAACAUGAUCCAAAAACCCAUUAAUAUGUCAUCUACAUGGGAACAUCCAAAGGGGGCGUCAAAAUUUGUUUUAGUGUCCUGGCAAUGUGUUGUUCUUGCAUUCUUUCUGAUAUCAAGCAACUUCUCUGCUCAUCAUCAACAAUGUGCUCCCAAUGUCCCGAGGGUGCGAGACGGGGACUCACUGACAGAGGGAAGAGCUCCUUCCUGAACGUAAAAACUGAGUCUGUAGCCUCACCCUCCAACAUCAAAGUCCAACAGCCAUUUUUGGAAAGAAUAUAUAUUGUGUCCGUUGUACUUAUUUAUAAUUCUAUAAAUUUUAUUUAUUUAUAAUGUCUUACAAGUUUUUGAUCCACAUGAAACCCAAGGUUAAAAAAUUACAAAAUGCAGUGCACCACCAUAGAUGGAGCAGUAUUUUUCUAAUUUAGGAUUUGCAUUGGUAUGUGUGUGCAUGUGCUUGUGCGCGUGGUGUUUGUGUAUGCAAAUUGUAAUAAAUAAAUCAGGCCUAGAAAUAAAUUAUUAGAGACCCCGCCAUUGGGCAUGUUCAAAAUGUUCCCUGUGACCUUGAACAUCAUACAUCAUGGCAUUAGCAUUCUGACAGAAUCUGCUGAACAUGUGAUGUGUUUGAAAGAUGCUUUGCCUCGCAGUCUUCCCUCCUCUGUCCCCUAAAUAUAUACUCAGUCAAGCCCUUCAGUUUCCUCUUGGUUCAACAAAUGACCUGGUCAGCUGCCACCAUUGUGGAGGACUUUAUCAGCUGCGAUUUCUAUUUCUCUUCUCUCUCUCUCUCUCUCUCUCUCUCUCUCUCUCUCUCUCUCUCUCUCUCUCUCUCUCUCUCUCUCUCUCUCUCCCUCUCUCCUA
ensembl:lncRNA